AGUAAAAUGGCUGAGUUUAAUAGGCGAUAAAUUGUAAAUUUAUUUACAGAUUAAUAUAAUCUUUUUACUA
rnacentral:tRNA from 1 species